rnacentral:lncRNA from 1 species
CAAACCCAAGGUUCACGGCCAGCGGGCAAACUCGCCCACCACACCUCGGUCUCCUAAGACCCUUUCCUUGGCAAUCCAAUGAAAGCUCGGUGGAACGACAAAAGCUACAACUCAGCGUGCACAUGACACCGCCACUUGUGCUUCCUAGGAGGGUGAGAGGAGAUGAGGCAGGUGCCACUAAUCCACCCUAAAAAUAGGGAGAAGGAUGAGCUUUCGUGUCGGGGGUUGGGGUGUUCACACUUAAACAUAAAUCAACUGGCAAAUUCAGCCCAACUCACGUGCUGGCCCUGUCCACACAGACGUCGACUCCAGCAAAAAUGUCCUGACUGACUUCAGGAGAGAGGAAUUAUUGCUACGUGCCUCUUUCCCAGUGAAGAAAAUCUCUGUUGGCUGCGAGCAGAGAAGCGGCGGAAGGAUUCCCGACUCCGGGAAGCCAGGUGUCGGAAGGAGGAAGUACGCUUGAAGGGGGUCCGGCUGGCCGACUCUGCACUCGUCCGUUCGUGGCCCACCGUGGUGGUCACCAAAUUGAGGGCUUCCUGGAAGGACCUCCUCACGGUGCCCAUCCACUGGGUCAUGUGGGUCUGGGCCACUGUGAGUUUAUCUCCCAGAUCUCCCGCAGGAGGUCCCACUCAUAUGACCCUCUUCACAUCCUGCUUCCUAAAAGAUUGGACAUUCCAGGACUGUGCAUCCUAGACUAAGAGGUGGAGCAACACCGUCAGUCAGAAGGCAGCGGAUGGCACAGGGCUUCCGCGUAAGGCCUGCAUCGCCUGAGUCAUGGUUUUCUCAUCUUGUAUGAGGCCCACCCCCUUCAAAAGGUUGUGACAAAAAAAACAACUGAGAUAAUUUGUGCCGCUGGCACAUAGUUAACACUCAAUAAGGCCGGGCGCAGUGGCUUACACCUCUAAUCCCAGCACUUUGGGAGGCUGAGGCAGGUGGAUCACUUGAGGCCAGGAGUUCGAUACCAGCCUGACCAACAUGGUGAAACCCCAUCUCAACUAAAAAUACAAAAAUUAGCCAGGCAUGGUGGUGUGCACCUGUAGUCCCAGCUACUUGGGAGCCUGAGGCAGGAGCAUCUCUUGAACCCGGGAGGUGGAGGUUGCAGUGAGCGGAGAUGGCACCACUGCACUCCAGCCUGGGCGACAGAACAAGACUCUGUCUCAAAACAACAACAACAACAAAAUAAUAAAUGGUGACCACAAGGGAUGAUCGUUUUUCUAUUAUAAUUCCUAUCAUCUCACUGUUCAAAUGAAUCACAGGACCCUAGACAGUCAGAAUCAAGACACCAGCAGGGACCAACCUAGGCCAACCUUCCCACUAAACUGAAGAAACAGGCCCAGACCGAGGGCUGCCCUAAGGCCUCACAGUCCAUCUGCAGCAGG